GUAUAAUAUGAUUGAAUUGAUAUUGGGUUUCAUAGGGAGAAGGGAAGGUCUAAAAACAAGAUUCUAACUAUACUUACUGCUGUUUUUGGAGGAUUAAAUACCGAGAAUCUCCAAAAUCUAAUGGUUUCUGAUAGAGCGGCUGAGCAAUUCGACAAAGGCGAUUUGAUCAGAGAAAUUGUUAAAGACUCAAGUUUGGUACUGCCCUCUGUGCCCUCUUCCAGCUUGCUGUACUGGUCAUUACUGCCUUCUUUGUCACUCCUCCUCCCAGGUUUGGGAUUUGCCAGUGUCAAUCUGAUAUGAAUCCCAGGAUCACCAAUUCCUUCAGACUCCAGUGCCAAGCCAGGACAAAAGAAGAGCAACCUCAGCUCCCAGGUUCAGCUCCACCAGCCCUUCACAGCACAUCACUGAGGAGAAACUGUCCCAAGCCUCAAAGGAGAACCACCAAAGUCUUCCUCCCUGCCCUCACCAGCUCAGAGCCAUUCACCAUGUUGGCUUUAGAGUAGGUUCGGGGUCACACUCUGAAUGCAGCACUAACAUAGACCCAUAGCUAUAGUUGAAAGUAAUAGCUGAGGCUUCUGACACUCCGAGGACUGCUGGAGAACAGGCUUCUGCUCACCUCAGUCCAGGUGAGGACCCUGUGGAUCUAGGCAACAGUAAGCUGACAGAGAGGUACGGCAACUGCUCUGCCCAGGAUCAUAAGAAACUACAGAGAGUUGUGCAUACAGCCCAGUGCAUCACUCAAGCCAACCUUCCAUCCACUGACUCCAUCUACCUUUUCCGCUGCCUCAGAAAGGCAGUCAACAUCAUCAAAGACA